rnacentral:rRNA from 1 species
UACGGAGGGUGCAAGCGUUAUCCGGAUUCACUGGGUUUAAAGGGUGCGUAGGUGGCAGGUAAGUCAGUGGUGAAAUCUCCGGGCUUAACUCGGAAACUGCCAUUGAUACUAUCUGUCUUGAAUACCGUGGAGGUUAGCGGAAUAUGUCAUGUAGCGGUGAAAUGCUUAGAUAUGACAUAGAACACCAAUUGCGAAGGCAGCUGGCUACACGAAUAUUGACACUGAUGCACGAAAGCGUGGGGAUCAAACAGG